UCAUAGCCUCUUCUCAUCCAUCUCUCAAUCUGUCUCACCAUCUCCAUCUUUAUAUGUUUCAUCCUCACAAACCCAUAUUCUAAAACUUUAAUUGCAGUCACCAUCUCUCCUAUUGGAUUCCUCCCUCUUCUCUCCCCUUUCCAAUCUGCUUUGUCUUUCAAAAUCCAUCUUUUACAACUCCUUCCCAACGAGCUGUUUGAAUUAUGGGAGAUGAAGUUGUCGCUACCGUCGACAGAGGCGGUCGCUCCGUUCAAGAAAUUAAAGGCCCCUGGGCUUCGCUUUGGGUCAUUUGGGUUCACUAUUGUUAGCGAAUUCAAGUCUCUCUCUCUAUGUUGUUGGCAUCACAAUUCCCACAGUUUGGCCUAUGGGAAAGAUGUUGCACAUUACAUGUUUGAAGAAAUGCUUGUCAGAGUAUGAAUUAGAGCUUAUCAAAUAAGGACAUAUGGAGCAAUGAUAUCAGGAGUUCCCCACCUACUGUCAAAAUUUUCUUUAUUGACUCUGCCCUUGCUUAUAUGGUUCCAUGUAGGGAAUUGUAUAUAUCAUAUAAUAUUAUAUUAUAUACGAUUGUUUAAUAGAAUAACACUGUUAGUUGAAAGCAGGGGCAUAUAUCAUAUGUGGUUUGAGUAUAUUUCUCUUUUUCCCCAUGACUGGAGUUCGUGUAGGACAUGAAUGUCUAUGUUUUGUUUUUUCUUUUUCUGCUAACUUGUUAUUUCAAUGAUAAAAGUUGUUAUUUUCAUGACUUAACCUGUUAUUUUGAAUAGUUAACUUGUCAUUUGUAACAAUGAACUUGUUAUACUUUACUUGUUAUUUAUAAUAUUGAAUUUGUUUUUUU